AGAGCUGACAAAACAAGUGAGUGCACUGA
rnacentral:sRNA from 1 species